rnacentral:rRNA from 1 species
GACUCUCGGCAACGGAUAUCUCGGCUCUCGCAUCGAUGAAGAACGUAGCGAAAUGCGAUACUUGGUGUGAAUUGCAGAAUCUCGUGAACCAUCGAGUCUUUGAACGCAAGUUGCACCCGAGGCCUCUUGGUCGAGGGCACGUCUGCCUGGGUGUCA